GGUGAGUGCUUUGGGGUGGGGUGACUGCGUACCUUUUGUAUAAUGGGUCAGCGACUUAUAUUCUGUAGCAAGGUUAACCGUAUAGGGGAGCCGAAGGGAAACCGAGUCUUAACUGGGCGUUAAGUUGCAGGGUAUAGACCCGAAACCCGGUGAUCUAGCCAUGGGCAGGUUGAAGGUUGGGUAACACUAACUGGAGGACCGAACCGACUAAUGUUGAAAAAUUAGCGGAUGACUUGUGGCUGGGGGUGAAAGGCCAAUCAAACCGGGAGAUAGCUGGUUCUCCCCGAAAGCUAUUUAGGUAGCGCCUCGUGAACUCAUCUUCGGGGGUAGAGCACUGUUUCGGCUAGGGGGUCAUCCCGACUUACCAACCCGAUGCAAACUGCGAAUACCGAAGAAUGUUAUCACGGGAGACACACGGCGGGUGCUAACGUCCGUCGUGAAGAGGGAAACAACCCAGACCGCCAGCUAAGGUCCCAAAGUCACAGUUAAGUGGGAAACGAUGUGGGAAGGCUCAGACAGCCAGGAUGUUGGCUUAGAAGCAGCCAUCAUUUAAAGAAAGCGUAAUAGCUCACUGGUCGAGUCGGCCUGCGCGGAAGAUGUAACGGGGCUAAACUGUGCACCGAAGCUGCGGCAGCGACGCUUAUGCGUUGUUGGGUAGGGGAGCGUUCUGUAAGCCUGCGAAGGUGUCCUGUGAGGGAUGCUGGAGGUAUCAGAAGUGCGAAUGCUGACAUAAGUAACGAUAAUGCGGGUGAAAAGCCCGCUCGCCGGAAGACCAAGGGUUCCUGUCCAACGUUAAUCGGGGCAGGGUGAGUCGACCCCUAAGGCGAGGCCGAAAGGCGUAGUCGAUGGGAAACGGGUUAAUAUUCCCGUACUUGGUGUUACUGCGAAGGGGGGACGGAGAAGGCUAUGUUGGCCGGGCGACGGUUGUCCCGGUUUAAGCGUGUAGGCUGGUUUUCCAGGCAAAUCCGGAAAAUCAAG
rnacentral:rRNA from 1 species